CCCUCACAUGCUGUGCUACACUUAGCUUGGAUCUCUAAGGAUAUUUUCUUCGUCUUCAGGAUCCUUCUCCGCCUUCAUAACGCUUGAAAAUUAUUUUCCUCACAGCGCAGCACUUGAUUAACAGGAGCCUCAAGUCAGGUGCAAAAGAAUGCAGUAAGGAACAAAGAAAAAGAAAAAGAAAACUAUAUUCUAUCAAUUACUUUUCUGAGCACAGGAAUAACAGGCUUAAUCCUGCUCCACUGGAUUUCUCUACAUAAAAAUGACAAGAACUAAGAUGAUGAAGAUGAUAAUGCACAUCCUCCUCUGACUCUGAACUCAGCUGGGAAGGAUUCUCAGAUUGUUAAGGAGGCAUAUAAUUAGACGAGGCCUACCCAGAUUAUGCAGGAUCAUCUCUCCAUCUCAAGGUUUUUUAAUCCAAUUGCAUCUAUAAAGGCUCUUUUGUCAUAUAAGGUAAUAUAUUUGCAGGUCCUUGGGAUUAAUGUGUGAACAUCCGUGGGGGUCAUUAAUUCUUCUUAUCACAUUCAGUGACUGACAUUUAGCUAGACAAAUGUUUGGAAUUCCAACCCUCCACAUGUUUCCUUAUGGUAUCAAUCUGACUGCAUUCCCAGGGCUAAAUUCCUUAAAAUUCCUUAAAUCUGUAUCUAUGACAGCAGAAACUGUCUCACUUUGGUUCCUCCCUGUAUUCCCAGCACUCAGCAGAAGGCAUGGAGUGGGUACACAGUAAAGAUUUAUUGAAUAGCUGAAUGAAAAAAUAAGUGAGUAAACCUAUUCUUUCAUGUGAGCUGCUAUAGGAGAAAUCUCUUUUGGGGCCUCAGCUGAUAAUAUCCAACCCCUUCAAGGGAAAGGGGCUCCCUCUUCAUGGACAGGGUCACUUUAUCUUCCUUAUCUUUUCUUCAAUAUUUGAUUCUACCUUGAGCAUAUGCCUUCCCUUCAGUCCCUACUGAGCUUAUGCCACCUGCUAUAUUAAGCCGUUAAUGGCAUUUCCAUUAAAAGGACAGAUGUUUACUUUUUAAAUUUAUUUUAAUAUAUAAUAUAUACGGUACAAAAAAGUUUUAAGUACAAAAGCAAAUUUAUUGACAAGCAAGCUGGCCUUCCUGUUCCAGCCACCCUGUUUCCUUCCAGAGGCAACAUCUUCCACCAGUUGAUUUGUUGGUUUGUUUUUGUUUGGGGGAAGGGGCCUAAUCUAACAGGAAUAUGCUGAAUGUACACAUUUGUUAUAUAAAACGAAAGCAUCCUGAAUAAAAAAAAAAUCUGACUUUACUUUUUAUUUAACAAUCUCAAUCUUUCCAACAGCUCUUAGUGUGCCUGCCAUUAAGUAGAGACGCAGCAAUUUAUUAAACCCCCUGGUCCUCCCGCGACCUCUCUGACUUUCUCAGUCCUUCUCUGGAUCCUUCCUUUACUGGUUUGCUAGGGCUGCUGGCCACACCCUGUGGCUCACAACAAGGGGAGUGUAUUGUCCUGAGGUUCUGGAGGCCAGCAAUCUCAAAUAGGCUUCUUAAAGUGGGAGGGUUUCAGGCCCCUGAGGCAGAGAGAAUCUGACUGUCCUGGGUGCAAGAAAGCAGAUGGAAGGAGCUGUAGUGUAGGUGUGGCACCUGGAAGACCAGAUGUGUCACCAAACUAGAAGGCAGUGGAAGAAAUUCAAAUGCCUGAGAAGGGAAGCCCAAGGCAGCAGAAGGAAAACACAUCCACGACUCUCCACAGCUGCCUCCACCCAACCUGUCCAGAAGCAGCUUGCCCCACUUCCCUAAGCACUUCCGCCACUCCUGCUGCAGGGUUUCCUCCCGGCUCCCACCCCUCAGGGCGACUGCACAUUCCAGUGCCCUUGUUCACUUCCUCCUGCUUCCAGAGAAGCUUUUAAAACCAUUGCCUACACCUUCUGUCCUGAGAACUUACCUGAGUUUGAGGUCCACUUACUGGUGCCUGCUACCUCUCUGGACAAGAUUUCUUGGUCUUCUCUGAAUUCCUUCUCUAUUGGGUUGCUAGGGCUGCACGCCACACACUGUGUAGCUUACGACAGUGGAAAUGUACUGUCUCACAAUUCUUGAGGCCAGAAAUCUAAAAUCAAGGUGUUGGUAGAGCCACACUCUCCUGGCUGCUGUAGAAUCCUUUCUUGCCUCUUGUCAGAGACUCUUGGUGAUCGUGCCUUGCAGAUGCGUAGCUCCAGUCUCUGCCUCCAUCCUCACAUGGUCACCUUCUCCCUGUGUGUCUCUACCUGAUUUUUUCCAAGCACGUCUUCUCCUCUUCUUAUUAGGACACCAGUCUCACUGGGUUAAAGGCCCAACCUACUCCAUCGUGACUUCAGUUUAACUAAUUACAUCUGCAGUUACCAUAUUUCCAAACCAGAGCACGUUCACAGGUUCCAGGGGUUAGAAUGUGAACGUACCUUGCAGGGGGCACAAUUUAAGCUAUGACACCAUCCUAUAAAACUGUUGUCCGCAAAGUGGGGUGAGACACCUCUGAGAACAAGAUAA